CUUGUUUAUUUAUCUAGAAAACUCAACCUCGACACCAAAGGUGGAGGUCACCGAAUGGCGGCAUUUACUAAGGAAACCAUAAAACAAGAAAUUCCUUAAUCAAGCAAUAACAUAACCGUCUUUUCCUCUUCCCUAUGCAAACCCCCUCCUUCUCUCCCCCCCAGUGUUUAGCCCAAGGCGUCAAGUGGGGGAACCCCAAGUGCUGUGAAACACAGUCUCUUGGUCAAAUGUUAAACAUUCAUAAGGCAUUGUAGCGUAUACAGAGAAAUGGACUGUUAAAUGAUUUUGCUUGUGUAAUACAUUGCAGUGCAGUGCAGUGAAGCGUAGAGUAGAAUAGACUAUGCUACAGUAGGAAGAAAAUACCCCUUAUUUGGUAGUAGUAAUCAAUACUGUAGUAGUAAAAACUACAGUAGUGAGAGUAUAAGAGUGAAGUGAGAAUUUAAGAGAAGUGAACAUUUAAGAGAAGUGAGAAUUUAAGAGUGAAGCAAAAAGUAUAAGUGUAUAUCUAGCACACUCAGUAUUGAUUCAAAUCAUAUAGGAUCAUUGUGUUAUUACUAGCUACAAUGGACGAGAUAUGAUGAUGGUAUGGGAUAAAAUACGAUGGAAUACUACUAUCGUUGCUGUUGCUGUGACAGAUUCCUCCGUCGCUACAUCGGCAGCAAAAAAAAAAUUGUUUUUUUCUUUCAUCCCUCAAACCUUUACCACCCCAAUUGGAGCAUCAUUAGUGGGAAAGAAAUUUUUUUAAUUUCUUCAUUCGACUGCAAAGAAGGCAGCAGCAAUAUUCAUGAUGUGACAGGUUGAAGAAAUUAAAAAAGGAGACAGAAAAUGAGAAAAAUAAAAAAAAAGAGAAAAAGAAAAAAAAAAAGAAAAAAUUUAAUUUAUCAUUUAUUAUGAUUAUUCUUUUUUUUUUUUGAUUUUAUUAUUUUAUUAUUUUUUCAUUUCAUAAUUUAGUUUUUAUUUCACAGUUCAGUAUUUAUUUUUUAUUUCGUAGUCUAGUUUUUAUUUUAUCAUUUGUUCUUCAUGUGUAUUGCCUACUCUUUUUGUCUUUUUGUCUUUUUUCUUUUUCUUUUUCUUGUUUGUUUAUUUUUUUGCUUCUUCGGCCAUUGCCAUCCCUAACACUCCUUUUUCUUCCUAUUACAACAGUGUCGCUUUCUCGACCUCUCUACCUCACCGCACUGCUCCUUCCGCACCUCCUUUGCCACAACUCUGCAUCCGUCUAUUGCCUUGCACUCUCUCUUGCCUGCUCCUUUCAACUUGUUAGCGCUUGGGGUGAUUUUCUUUUUCCAAUAGAUUCAUUAACAAUUUCUAACAUAGUACCGUAAACGACCUUUUCAAGAAUCGCUCUGCACCUCCUUCUUUCAAUAGAUCAAUGUAAAAUAAAACAAACAUAACCUAUGAUAAUUUCCUCUCCCUUUUCU